CCUUUCCCUUUCCCUUUCCCUUGGGGGAGUUUUGUUUUGUUUUUGGGCCUUUGACCUCUCUCCCUUCAAUUCUCUCCGUCUCCUCUCUAGACUCCUCGUUCCCUCGCUCUACUCUACUGGCCGUUAGAAAAGAAAAAAAAAAAAGGAAGAAAAGAAGGAAGGGAAAAACACACAAAAUCACAUUCACACGCACAAAUACACGCACAGACCCAAGAAUCCUAACCAAAAACGUUCUCUUAAAUUCCAGAGUUAGAUGUAGCGAAUUUAUGUGAAUGUAAGCAGUUACAAAUAGUAGUAUGAGCAGCACUAGACUGGGCGGCAUUUCGCACUACCACCACCGGUUAUGAAUCCCACUGCUGCUGACCCAGCACCUCCGCCUCCUCCUCCGCCGCAGCCUCCGCGUUCCUCCUUCAGCUGUGACCGCCACCCUCAGGAACAAUUUACCGGUUUCUGCCCCUCCUGCCUCUGCGAGCGCCUCACCACUCUCGACCAAUCCUCUUCCAAUCCUUCUUCCUCUUCUCGCCGCCCUUCCACCUCCUCUUCCUCCGCUGCCGCCGCCCUUAAAUCCCUCUUCUCCUCCUCUUCCUCCAAGCCCUCCACCUCCUUUACCACCACCACUACUAACCCCCCGCCACAGCCCCCUCCUAAACCCUCCAAACCAGCCUCAUUUUUCCCGGAGCUCCGCCGCACCAAGUCCUUCUCCGCCUCCAAGCACGAGGGCCUAGGCUUGAGCUUCUCCGGCGCUUUCGAGCCUCAACGCAAGUCCUGCGAUGUUCGUGUCCGCAACACGCUUUGGUCCCUUUUCACUCUCGACAACGAGUCUAAAGUCACCACCUCCGCCAAACCCUCUACCUCUUCCUCUUCUUUAAAUCCUCAACAUUCCAUCCUCACCAAAGAUACCCAUGAUGAUUUUGUGAACAAACCCGUUUUUGAGUCCAAAGAAGAAGGAGAAGGAGAGGAGGAGCCUCAAAACGACGAAAGUGAAUGCAGUUACGAUAGCAGCAGCAGCAGCAGCAACAACAACAACAACAACAACAACAAUAACAACAACAUCGGGUCUGAUGAAAUCACCCCUGUAGCUGCAAUUCAGGAAGCUCCUGUUGUGGAAGAAAGAGGAGACAUCAAUUUGGAGAUCGUGGAAGAAGAAGACGAAGAGGUGGUGGAUUUUAGUACCAUAAAGCCCAUGAAAGAUCAUAUAGAUCUCGAUUCUCAGGCGAAGAAGCCUUCUGGAGGAGGCGGAGUGAGAGAAAUUGCGGGGAGUUUCUGGUCAGCUGCCUCAGUUUUCAGUAAGAAAUGGCAUAACUGGAGGCGCAAGCAGAAGAUGAAGAAGCGAAGCAACGGCGAGUUAUCGGCUACAUUGCCUGUGGAGAAGCCCAUUUCCAGGCAGUACAGAGAGACUCAGUCCGAGAUUGCGGAUUAUGGGUUUGGGCGGCGUUCUUGUGAUACUGAUCCUCGGUUCUCUCUUGACGCCGGGAGGAUUAGCUUUGAUGAUCCCAGGUACUCGUUCGACGAGCCUCGGGCUUCUUGGGACGGGUACUUGAUUGGGAGGAGUUUUCCGAGGAUGCCACCCAUGCUGUCCGUCGUGGAAGAUGCCCCAGCUGUUCACGUUUCGAGGUCUGAUUCUCAGAUUCCGGUGGAGGAGCCCAAUGUCCUUGGGAUGAAUUGCCCCGUUAAUGACGAUGAGGCUGUGCCGGGAGGGUCUGCUCAGACUAGGGAGUAUUAUUCGGAUUCUUCUUCCAGGAGGAGGAAGAGCCUGGAUAGGUCUAGUUCUAUUAGGAAGACUGCGGCUGAUGUGGUGGCGGAGAUCGAUGAGAUGAAGGGGGCUUCUAAUGCUACGGUAUUGCCUGCUAAUCUGGACUAUAUGAAUGGGACAAAGGUUAUAGUUGCCGAAAGGGAUUCCAAGGAUGCAAACUCAAGUUCUUUGAGGGAUGACUACUCCGAGGCUUUUGAAUUACGUAGUCUGAGAGAUAAUGCUUCGGUGGUUGGGAAUGGAGAAGGAAAGGGGCCAAAGAAAUCAAGGAGAUGGAGUUGGAAAAUAUGGGGUUUUAUACACCGGAGAAAUGGUGGAAACAAGGAUGAGGAUGAUGACAGGGAUAGUAAAGCAAAUGGGGUGGAAAGGUCAUAUUCAGAGUCUUGGCAGGAGUUAAGGCGGGAGGGUAAUGGUGAAGUGAAAGAUGGGAUCAAUAGAAAGGUGUUUCGGAGUAACAGUAGUGUGAGCUGGAGGAAUUCAAGUUAUAUUGGGGGAUCAUUUGGAAGUGUGAGGAGAUUGGGGAUGGAGAUGAAUGGAAAUGGCAAGAAGAGGAGAGACGACUUCAUCUUGGAGAGGAAUAGGAGUGCCAGAUAUUCGCCGAACAAUGUGGAUCAUGGCCUCCUGCGCUUUUACUUGACGCCCCUGAGAAGCAGCAGCCGCAGAGGUGCCCCGGCAAAGAACAGGCAAAAUGGCUCUCAUACAAUUGCAAGAAGUGUACUUCGGCUAUACUGAGACUAAGGUCCUGAAGUUGUUUCUUUGGUUCCUUGUUCUUGUUUUGUCGUCUGAUCUCUACUUAUGUUGUCCAUCAUUUUUGGCUUUAUUACUGCAUUAUAAAUUAUCUUGGUCAUGCUAAAUCUAACAAUCUGGCGUCCAGAAUACUUUAUACCAGUGAGCAUUCUAUCCUGAUACUGUCUUUAGAAAUUCCUUAUCAUGAAUGUUACCCUUAACGUCCAUACUUCGUCAUGCUUGUUCUGGUCCCAAGUGGUCACCUUUCACUGUUAUCUGUACGGUUGCUGAUUGGUCAACCCCAUCGGGCAUUUUUUUGUUAGGAAGUAAUCAUUCUGUGUGAAUUUUAAACCACUUAUAGGGUGUUGUAGCGUCACAAUAUUGGAACAAAUUAUAUCAGUCAUCCCUUGUUGAUGUGGAAUUCGUAAAAAUAUGGUGAUCAGCAGAGAAUUUUCAUAGCUCAUGGUGGUCCAUUUUCUAAUUUCCAAGUUGUUCUUUGCUUAAUUUAAAUCUUUGUGCUUUGCAUAUUACCAAGAAGACACAAUGAAUCAAUGUGCGUAUUCCAAGUUGGGUGAUGUUAAUGUGCUGAAGGCAUCAAUUGAUAAACAAGAACUGGUCAAGGAAAACAUAAAGGGAACUUGUGAAUAAAGACCAAGAACACCGGUCCAAGUUCAACCUUCAAUAACCACUUUAGAGACAAACUCGGCCCUUCACGAAGGCUGGUUUAACCUUGUCCUGCGUUUAAGGGAAGUCGGUGCAUUCUUCUUGAUAGCAAAGUUGCGGGCGGACAUGAAGUUGGGCAUGCUUAAAGGCUGAAGAUCGUCACUCCAGUCUUCCCUGUAUCUGUGGUAAGAGGGUGUCAAGGUGAAUGAAGGUGGUGAAUAGCUAUGAGGAACAGAGCAUAUGAGGAACUCGGAAGGCAAAACUGGUUGAAAAGAGACUACUUAGUUGAAUCAGGCAUGUAGGCGGAUCAGAGGGAGAGGGGGUCCACAAGGCAUCUCUUCUUCGCUUGAUUUCUGUUAUCCUUUGACAUGUUUGUUUAAUUGUUUUUGGGGUUGGGCGGGGUAUAUGCGUUUUAGUUGCAAUUACAAGUUGAUGAGGGGAUAUAUUGGAGGAUUUGUUGAAAAAUGUGAUAUACAAGUAUUUUAGCGCUGAUUCCUCUUUCUUUUUUUUUUUUUUGUUUUUUUUUGGGUUCUUUAGGAUGUAAAUAUCCACCCACCUUAAUGUUGCAUAUUCUCUGCUUACUUUGAUCUCUUUAGCAAAGG